GACGAACGCUGGCGGCGUGCCUAAUACAUGCAAGUCGAACGCACAGUUUAUACCGUAGCUUGCUACACCAUAAACUGUGAGUUGCGAACGGGUGAGUAACGCGUAGGUAACCUGCCUGGUAGCGGGGGAUAACUAUUGGAAACGAUAGCUAAUACCGCAUAAUAUUGAUUAUUGCAUGAUAAUUGAUUGAAAGAUGCUAUUGCAUCACUACCAGCUGGACCUGCGUUGUAUUAGCUAGUAGGUGAGGUAACGGCUCACCUAGGCGACGAUACAUAGCCGACCUGAGAGGGUGAUCGGCCACACUGGGACUGAGACACGGCCCAGACUCCUACGGGAGGCAGCAGUAGGGAAUCUUCGGCAAUGGACGAAAGUCUGACCGAGCAACGCCGCGUGAGUGAAGAAGGUUUUCGGAUCGUAAAGCUCUGUUGUAAGAGAAGAACGGGUGUGAGAGUGGAAAGUUCACACUGUGACGGUAUCUUACCAGAAAGGGACGGCUAACUACGUG
rnacentral:rRNA from 1 species